rfam:Streptomyces sp. WM6378 P402contig72.1, whole genome shotgun sequence.
GUGCCGUGAACUCCCACUCCCCCGGCUCCUCGGCCACCGCCUGCCCGCCGAAGAACCCGCCGUCGGACAGCACGCCGCGCCGGGUCUCCUCGCCGUACCGUCCGGUGCCGGCCUUCUCCACCUUGCCGUGCGCGAUCAGGUAGACGUGGUCGACGGGCCCGCCCUGGUGGGCGAUCACCUGACCGGGGCCGUACUGCUCCUGUCGGCAGCGCUCGGCGAGCGCGCGCAGCGCCUCCUCGUCCUCGAACCCACGCAGCAGCGGCAGUUCGCCCAGUUCCGCGGGGACGACCCUGACCGUGGUCCCCUCCUGGACGAAAGUGACCCGGCCGUCGCCGACCUCGUACACCAGGCGCCGGUUGACCCGGUACGCGCCACCCUUCACCUCCACCCAGGGCAGCAUGCGCAGCAGCCACCGGGAGCUGACGCCCUGCAUCUGCGGGACGCUCUUGGUGGUGGUCGCCAGGUUCCGCGCGGCGGCGAUCCCCAGGCUGAGCUGUGCCCG